UACGGAGGAUCCAAGCGUUAUCCGGAUUUAUUGGGUUUAAAGGGUGCGUCGGCGGGUUAUUAAGUCAGUGGUGAAAGCCUGCAGCUUAACUGCAGAAUUGCCAUUGAUACUGAUGAUCUUGAGUACAGUUGAGGUGGGCGGAAUGUGUCAUGUAGCGGUGAAAUGCUUAGAUAUGACACAGAACACCGAUUGCGAAGGCAGCUCGCUAAGCUGUAACUGACGCUGAGGCACGAAAGCGUGGGGAUCAAACAGG
rnacentral:rRNA from 1 species